rnacentral:rRNA from 1 species
UACGAGGGGGGCGAGCGUUGUUCGGAAUCACUGGGCGUAAAGCGCACGUAGGCGGACUCUUAAGUCGGUGGUGAAAUCCUGGAGCUCAACUCCAGAACUGCCUUCGAUACUGAGAGUCUUGAGUCCGGGAGAGGUGAGUGGAACUGCGAGUGUAGAGGUGAAAUUCGUAGAUAUUCGCAAGAACACCAGUGGCGAAGGCGGCUCACUGGCCCGGUACUGACGCUGAGGAGCGAAAGCGUGGGGAGCGAACAGG